GGGGAUAAAGCUCAGUGGUAGAGUAUUUGCCUAGCAUGUACAAGGCCCUGGGCUCAAAUCCCAAGUAUCACAA
rnacentral:tRNA from 1 species